CGCCAGAAGCUACCAAUAGCACAGUACAGCUGCAACAUGUCACAAGAGAAAGGAAGGGCACACAAACAUGUUCUUCACGUUGUGUAGUCUUAUUUGGAACGUAAAAUCAGGCCUUGAGAAAUGAGUGAAGAUGAUUAUAAAACACAAAGGAUUUGGAAAAUCAUUGUAGAUUUCAGAUGGACAUACUACAUAAAGCUGUUUCCAAAAGAAAAAGAGAACAGAUAAUAAAGAAGAACGAAAACUGGAAACUGAAGGAAAAUGCAUGAAGAGACUACCAGCUAAAAGAGAAAGGCAGUAAGCAACUACAAAACAGCACAUUUUCAUAGUGCUGUUUCACUCUACCAAGUGUUAAGAAUGGCUUCAAAAGUAAAGCAAAGAAAUCUAUGUCUAAAAUGAUAAAAUCAAUACAAAUAACGAAAUAAUUUUCAACUGAUAGGCGAAAUACAUGGUAUCACUUUUUCACAUGUAUUCUGUGGGCUCUAAUCUAAUCUUUACUUAGAUGAAAAUGUUUUUACAGCAUUGAGAAUCUGUCUUGAGUAAGGACAGUAAUUUGGCCACUGCAGAGUGAAGUAACAACACUAGUUUCAUACACUGUCAUUAUAGAUUGGUUUUGUUAAUUCUGAUCUUGGCUACUCCAU
rnacentral:lncRNA from 7 species